AGCGAACGCUGGCGGCAGGCCUAACACAUGCAAGUCGAGCGCCCCGCAAGGGGAGCGGCAGACGGGAGAGUAACACGUGGGAACGUACCCUUCAGUUCGGAACAACCCAGGGAAACUUGGGCUAAUACCGGAUACGUCCGUAAGGAGAGAGAUUUAUCGCUGAAGGAUCGGCCCGCGUCUGAUUAGCUAGUUGGUGGGGUAGCGGCCCACCAAGGCGACGAUCAGUAGCUGGUCUGAGAGGAUGAUCAGCCUCACUGGGACUGAGACACGGCCCAGACUCCUACGGGAGGCAGCAGUGGGGAAUAUUGGACAAUGGGCGCAAGCCUGAUCCAGCCAUGCCGCGUGGAUGAUGAAGGCCCUAGGGUUGUAAAGUCCUUUCGGCGGGGAAGAUAAUGACGGUACCCGCAGAAGAAGCCCCGGCUAACUUCGUGCCAGCCGCCGCUGUAAAAC
rnacentral:rRNA from 1 species